GCUCCAGGAUGUCUCCUCUUUCUUUUGAAAUUUGGAAAGAAAUCUAAUGAAAAUUCAGAUGAUGAUAGGCCAUAAGGUUUCAUUCUCAAUUUCUGUUCAACGUUUAUCAUGCUGACACAUUGUUUGCAGUUGUCAGAGGUAUGCUUGCAUCUAGAGGCAAUGCUGUGAAGUUCAGGGUAAAUUACAGAAAGCCGGCAUGUCAAUGCAGAGUGUUUUUAAAAGUAUUUGCACAAACGUCAAGGUCUGUUGAUACUUCCUGCUUGGACAUGGGCUGCAUACAGAACAGCAAUCUACCAUGAAGACUGGAAAAGGGGGAGAUUGUAUAUACUCUUCCCAAACAAGGAAGAACUCCAUGGACUGACUCAGAAUUUAAUGGGCAUCCAAAAGAAGUGAAGCUAAACAACUACCUCCAAUUUUUCUGGGAAACGCAACCAAUAUCAAGAAUGAC